rnacentral:rRNA from 1 species
UGAAAUAAACCUGACGGGUUUGUUGCUGGUUCUUCAGGGAGCAUGUGCACGCCUUGUCAUCUUUAUAUCUCCACCUGUGCACCUUUUGUAGACCUUUCAAGGUCUAUGUUGCUUUCAUAUACCCCAUUGUAUGUUAAUAGAAUGUUGUGCCUAUAUAAUAUAUACAACUUUCAGCAACGGAUCUCUUGGCUCUCGCAUCGAUGAAGAACGCAGCGAAAUGCGAUAAGUAAUGUGAAUUGCAGAAUUCAGUGAAUCAUCGAAUCUUUGAACGCACCUUGCGCUCCUUGGUAUUCCGAGGAGCAUGCCUGUUUGAGUGUCAUCAAUAUAUCAACCUUCUCUUGUUGAGUGGUUUGGAUGUGGGGGUUUGCUGGCCUCUUAAAGGGUUCGGCUCCUCUGAAAUGCAUUAGCAGAACAUCUCCUGUUUCAUUGGUGUGAUAAACUAUCUACGCUAUUGAAUGCAGGGGCAGUACAGCUUUCUAACAGUCCUUGGACAAUCUAUCAUCAAUGUGACCUCAAAUCAGGUAGGACUACCCGCUGAACUUAAGCAUAUCAAUAAG